rfam:Frankia sp. EAN1pec, complete genome.
AAGAGCCGGAUGAGCCGAGAGGUUCACGUCCGGAUCUGUGGGCGCCCGGGGGUGAAACUCCCCCGGGCGACCCGAC